GUGAAGCUCUUAAAGGGACCGUAGCUACUAAAUAUGCUGCCACCUGUCAUUAAAGGGAUAGUUCAGACCAUAAUCACAUUUCUGUCAUU